rnacentral:rRNA from 1 species
CCUACGGGAGGCAGCAGUGAGGAAUAUUGGUCAAUGGGCUUACGCCUGAACCAGCCAAGUCGCGUGAGGGAAGACUGCCCUAUGGGUUGUAAACCUCUUUUGUCAGGGAGCAAUUGGCGCUACGUGUAGCGUUAUCGAGAGUACCUGAAGAAAAAGCAUCGGCUAACUCCGUGCCAGCAGCCGCGGUAAUACGGAGGAUGCGAGCGUUAUCCGGAUUUAUUGGGUUUAAAGGGUGCGUAGGCGGAAUGCCAAGUCAGCGGUAAAAUCGCGGGGCUCAACCUCGCUCCGCCGUUGAAACUGGCGGUCUUGAGUGGGCGAGAAGUAUGCGGAAGGCGUGGUGUAGCGGUGAAAUGCAUAGAUAUCACGCAGAACCCCGAUUGCGAAGGCAGCAUACCGGCGCCCAACUGACGCUGAAGCACGAAAGCGUGGGUAUCGAACAGGAUUAGAUACCCCAGUAGUC